rnacentral:snoRNA from 1 species
CCUGCCCCUAAAAGCAUUGCAAGUAUGGUUACUGUCAUGGUGUCAGAUGUCAGAGAAGAGAGAGACUAUGUCUACCUUCUGUGUUCUGACCUAUGACCAUCUGAAUGAAGAGUAGCCUAACAUU